GGGGGCGAUCGGAUUCGACGGGGAUAAAGAGGUUAAGGAACGCAUGCCGAGGUCCCAUUGGGCUCGUUAAACAAAUGGGAAAAACAUAAUUGCUAAUGAACAAUUAGCUCUCGCUGCCUAAACGCAGUGACAUCGACUUUCCGUCGCCUGUGCGGGGGGAAGAUGCCAGAUAGCAGGCUGGCCUGACUCUUCGCCUUGGGGAGUCUGGGUGAGAUCUUUCGAGGCUAGCAGAAGAGGAAGCCUGUCUCUGGGCGACCUUGGACGCGAAUUCCAAAAUAGAGACUAAGCAUGUAGUGUUCUUUUUCUGAAUAUCUUCGGACGCGGGUUCAAUUCCCGCCGCCUCCACCA
rnacentral:tmRNA from 1 species